GUUUAAUUUGGAAUUAGAUGAUUCUUAUAUUGAUCUUUUCUCUUCGAAAUAUACAAAUAAAGAUUUUCUUCUUUGUCACGACGAUCGACUUGAAAGCCGAGCAAUUGCCUUUAUCUUUUAUUUGGUGCCUGAAUCCUGGCCGGACCAAGAUGGCGGCGCUUUAGAGCUUUUUAGUUGUAGCGAUCUUUAUGUUCCUGAAAAUGUUGUUAAGCGGAUUGUUCCGGAAAAAAACUCCGUGAUUUUGUUUGCGGUGAGUAAAAAGUCAUUCCAUCAGGUUUCUGAGGUUGUUUCUGAUAAAGCGAGAAUAUCAAUAGGCGGCUGGUUUCAUUAUAAGCAUCGAAAGAGCACCGCAGACGACCUUCAGAAUCAAGAACAUUGUCCGAUCGCACUUUCUUAUGAACUUCCUAUAGAAAACCACCAUGUUACCCUGGAGGAGUGGAUCAACGCGCCUUA